UGUGGUGCGGAGCCCGCGCCCCUCAGCCGCUGCGCGGGAACUCUGCGCUCCCGAAAGCGGCGCUCUCCCUCGCUCAAAUGGCCACAGGGGAGCUUAAAAUUCAUUUUCAGCCUGUUGAAAAAGCCUCCAUCGUGCAACGAAGACUGGGAAGAGUCCAGUUCCUGUCAAAAAUAAGAAAAUAGGAAAGUGCAGAGGCGGCCAGCUCCUGCUGCACGGAAGGCUGAAGGACUGAAUUGAGAAGACCAGUACCAGCAACAGUUCAAUGGAGCCAAAAUAAGAGAUUUACCUAGAGGAUAUAGAUGCUAUAGUCGAGGCAGAUAGUGGAUAAUCCAAAUGUAUAAACAGCUAAUAACCUAUGUUACUAUUUACAGCAAAGUUAACCAAGAUUAAGUUGCUCAGAAUGCAGAACUCUGUUCCUUUGAGGUCUACUGUCUCAAGGAUUGCUACAGUCCCCUGUGUGAUGUGCUGCCAAAUGGAAGCUUUAUUCUUCAUCAUAGCUCUCUCCUUUUCAUGCCCUUAACUGAAAUAUUAACUAGUAAAAAUAAUUACUUUAACCAUCAUUUUCUUUAAAUUUCAAAUUGAGGUCUCUUUCAUUCAUUCCAGAAUAAACUACAAUAGCAGUUACUUAAGU